AAAGGUUUGGUCCUAGCCUUGAAGUCAGUUUUUAAUUAUUAUACACAUGCAAGUCUCCGCACCCCUGUGAAAACGCCCUUAAACUCCCCUCUAGGGAGCAGGAGCUGGUAUCAGGCACUACUUCUGCCCAAAACACCUAGCCUCGCCACACCCACAAGGGAAUUCAGCAGUGAUUAACAUUGAAUAUAAGCGACAGCUUGAUUCAGCUAAAUUUUUUAGAGCCGGCCAAUCUGGUGCCAGCCGCCGCGGUUACACCAGAAGCUCAAAUUGACCUCUUUCGGCGUAAAGCGUGAUUAAAGUUAUUCUUCCUCUGGAGCCAAAUUGAAACUAAGCCGUGACACGCUUGUUACCUAAGAAAACCACUAACGAAAGUUGCUCCAUCCACCUCUACUUGAACUCACGACAACUGAGAGACAAACUGGGAUUAGAUACCCCACUAUGCUCAGUCGUAAACUUUAAAUUACAUUUUUCUCGCCUGGGAACUACGAGCUAAGCUUAAAACCCAAAGGACUUGACGGUACCCCAUAUCCACCUAGAGGAGCCUGUCCUAUAAUCGAUAACCCCCGUUUAACCUCACCAUUUUUUGCUUCUCAGCCUGUAUACCUCCGUCGUCAGCUUACCACGUGAGCGCUAGUGAGCCUAACAUUCUUCAAUAAUACGUCAGGUCAAGGUGCAACCCAUAAAAUGGAAAGAGAUGGGCUACACUUUCUAACUUAGAAAACACGAAAGACUAUAUGAAAACCAGUCAGAAGGCGGAUUUAGUAGUAAAUAGAAACUAGAGAGCUCUAUUAAAUUUGGCACUGGGGUGUGUACACACCGCCCGUCACCCUCCUCUGAUGCUAAAAACAGUUUUUAACCCCAUAAAGCUAAAUAGAAGAGGUAAGUCGUAACAUGGUAAGUAUACCGGAAGGUGUGCUUGGAAACAG
rnacentral:ncRNA from 1 species